UCUUGACAUCCAGAGAACUUUCCAGAGAUGGAUUGGUGCCUUCGGAAACUCUGAGACAGGUGCUGCAUGGCUGUCGUCAGCUCGUGUUGUGAAAUGUUGGGUUAAGUCCCGCAACGAGCGCAACCCUUAUCCUUUGUUGCCAGCGAUUCGGUCGGGAACUCAAAGGAGACUGCCGGUGAUAAACCGGAGGAAGGUGGGGAUGACGUCAAGUCAUCAUGGCCCUUACGAGUAGGGCUACACACGUGCUACAAUGGCAUAUACAAAGGGCGGCAAGCUAGCGAUAGUGAGCGAAUCCCAUAAAGUAUGUCGUAGUCCGG
rnacentral:rRNA from 1 species